AGGAUUCUCACUAAUGGUCCCGAAUUGCUUUAUCGCCUAUAGCAUGUUAUUACUGGAAUUGAAGUGAAGAGAGAACUGAACUGCUCGGCCCCAGGCAGGAGAUGAGUCAAAAAGACCAGAGUCAUUGAAUGUUCUCUAAGGUUCCUUCUCAGCUUCUUCAGGACUGCUGUUCCAAACCCAUGAAAAAGAAAGCGCUCAACACUGACUAAGCUCAGUCGCUCUGGGAGCAUCCCUGGUGAUUUCCAAUGCUGUGUGCACUGUUUACAGUACCGAUGAGGAACAGGUAUGUCUAAGCAUCACAUGUGUGCAAUGUCCGUGGAGGCCAGAAGAGGGCAUCAAAUCCCCUGGAACUGGAGUCAGAGAUGGUGAUCUGCUAUCACGUGGGUGCUGGGACUCAAACACUGGUCCUCUGGAAGAGCAGUCGUUACUCUUAAUUGCUGUGCUAUCUUUCCAGCCUCAGUUCUCUUAAUCAGAGAAGUAGAAAAUUUCCCCCUUCUGCCAGCUAGCUUCCAGAAUUUGCUUUAUUCCCAUAAUGAUGAGUACUUUCUCAUUAAGUUAACUUCCUAGAGGACUGCAAUAUUGCCAGUCAUCCAGGCUUUCCGAUGUCUUCAUGCUGUCCUCAAUUGCACAAUUUGGAAUGAAGCAUCUUUAGAUCUGUGGCCAUAGCAAGCCCAAGUGAAUGAACUAGACCAGGAAUCCUAAGCCACAGCUUUGGGGCCAGUUUCUUUGCAGUGACCCAUCCAGUUCCUAUGAAACACUCACCACUGCUAGAGCAUGCACAAGGGGGAGGAAAAAUACUACUGAGUGAAACAGCAACAAAACCCCAAACAAUGAGUGUACCAUGUACCACGUUUUUCUAAUCCUUUUCAGUUUUAUUUCUUAAAAUGUGAUUAUCAGUAGUUUUCCAUAGAUGUAUGACAUUCAAAGAAAAGAAUUCCUGUAUUAUCAUCAGGAUCCAGGAACUAUUAAUUCAACAAAAUCUUUCUUCUUUCUUUAGGCCCUUUGUCUUUGUUACGCGCUUUUUGCUUUUCCCCCUCAUCCUUUUCUAUACUCCUUGUUUUUGCAAACACUAACAGAAAAAAAAAAAAAGACCCUGCUAGAAAUGUUCAUAGAAACUAGGGUGAUUUACAGAUAUCUUGCUUAUAGUGCAUUUGACUCUGAGUCAGGAGAGCUGUCACAUGUCAACUGCACUAAGAAGAAUGGAUAUCAUGGCAUGGUUUUCAAACCAACUGAUCUAGCUUCUAAAGCAGGAGUAUGUACUUUGAAUCAUUCCUAAGCAUAAAUUGUGAAUCAAGACCCUGAGAAUGAGUAAAGGUGUCUCAGCACUUGACCAUGAAAGAUGUUCCCUUUGCAUAGUGAAGUCCUAAUCAGUUACCACUGUGUGUUAGAAUAGGUUGCCGUAAGCUGUGAUAAAUGAGUCCUAAUAUUUCUGUAGCUUCCCACGCAUUUGCUGGGGGUACGCAAGAAGGCGUAAGCACUUUGUGGUGAUAGCAUCAGAACCCAUGCAAGAAGAAAGAAAGGGAACUGCACAUAGGAGAGAUAUCACAGCCAGAUCCGGAAGUGGCAAACACCACAUUCUUGUGUGUACACUCCUGUAGUUUCAUGUCAUUUGUCUCUAAUGCACAGAAGGCUAUGCAGUAGACUUUAGUCAGCCCCAGAGCAGAGGAGGAAGGAAGGAAGGAUGGCAGGAUGGGCCAAACACACUCUGUGCCCUUUCUUUCUGAUGCUGGAAAUAGAAUGCAAGGCUCACAAACUCCAAGCAAGCUCCCAACCCCUGAGCUACACUCCCAGGCCCGUCUUUUCGAUUCAGAUCCUCCUGUAUGUUCUCUGCUUUGUAAGAAUGGAGUUUGGAAUUGUUCUCUUUUGCCUGAAAUCUCCUAGUCAGAGUGUGACAGCAAGGGGUAGGGAAAAUAAGGUGAGAGUCUGGAAGAGGACAAUGACUUUCUCCUCUUGGGCAAGGUGCUCUUUUGGUGCUAUGCCCCAGAGCCCUGGUGAGUACUUGGUUAUAGGCACUAGUUUUUCAAAUGCUACUCUAUGUUGGGGUUCCUUAAAGCUUAUACCUCCCUUCCAACCCCCCAUGUGCAGGUAGGGAAAAAAGAAGAUUGGAAGGGAAAGGGGACGUAGCCCUCUUUACUUCUGUCUGCUGGGUAGGGCUGAAAGAUUUGGGGGGUGGGGGGACAAUACUAAUCUCAGUCAUCAGGAUAUCUGGAAGUCCAGGUAAGCAGCAAGCUGGCAAGUCAGCAAGUGCAGCAAGCAGUCCUCUUCUGCCUCCUCCAAGCUGCUGCGCCUUCAUCCUCUGGUCUAUCAUAUUUAUACCCCUCAAAGUCCUCAGAAUCCAACUAAUUCCAGCUGGCAAAGACCAAGCCCCUUCACUAAGCAAUAAUCAGCUGUGAACAAACUAAAAUCCCACACUUGGGAUUAUAACGAAAACAUGUUUACAUACCAUAACUGAGGUUUUAAGGGAACGGAAACUUCUACUACACUUGGUUGCUUUCCUUUCACCUUUUCUGGCUUCCUGGAACUGCUCUGUCAUGCCUCCUCAGAGGCACAAGCACCAGGCAUCCUCCCUCUGCAAAUGUCUGUCUAAGCCUCAGCUCCGCUGAGCUCUCUUUCUGAGCUCUGAGGGACACGGACGUCUAAGUUUUCUGUGUCCACAGCCCAUGGAUAAUAACUGCUCUCCACAAUUAUCUCAGACUAAAUGACAUAACUCAAGAUCUAUAGAACUCCAAAGUUCAAACCUCUGGAAUGCUGAUAUGAUAUUACAAGUGGAAAAUUCCAUGCAUGACCUCAUUGAUGGAUUGCAGUCAAAACUGCAGAUACACUAAAAAUGCUGUAUAAAGUGACCUUCGGGCGGCACACUGAAUGUAUAGACUAAACAUCAAUGAUUUUUCACAUUUGGAUUUGGGGUACGGCUCCUAAGAUAUUUCAUCAUGGGUAUAUGAACGUUCCAAAUGUAAAGAUAUCUCCAAUCUAUAGCAUUUCUUGCCUCAAGUUUUGGGCAUGGGGGUGUUCAGGCAGCAUCUCCGGAUCGCUGAGGUAGACAUGUGUGCUUGUAAAGCCCCAACACAUACAGGGACAAGUCCCUGUACCAAAGUUCCUUUGUAGAAAACACCUAGUUGGACUUCAGUUUUCCGGAUUGGACCCUGCCAGUGACUGCAACGCUCAGACAAUUGCAGCAUACCGUAAAUGAUGAGGCUUGAGUCUUGAACUUUUGAAGAGUACUCUAGUUACUGGACACUCUGCAAAAACACGCCUCAGUUCAGGAAACUAAUCACUUCGAAGCAAAAGCGUUUUGCUUUCACUUCAGCACAUGAAAUUGAUUUAUUGGGUGAAUAAAAAAAAAUCAACAACCCACUAAGAAGAAUUAGUCAAAGUGCUUACAUUCAUAAAAUA